rnacentral:rRNA from 1 species
GACGAACGCUGGCGGCGUGCCUAACACAUGCAAGUCGAACGAGAUCCAUGGGAGCUUGCUCCCGGAAGAUCUAGUGGCGAACGGGUGAGUAACACGUGAGAAACCUGCCCUGGAGUGGGGAAUAACUCGGGGAAACUCGAGCUAAUACCGCAUACCCUCGGAUGGUCGCAUGGCCGACCGAGGAAAGAUUUAUCGCUCUAGGAGGGUCUCGCGGCCUAUCAGCUAGUUGGUGGGGUAACGGCCUACCAAGGCAACGACGGGUAGCUGGUUUGAGAGAACGAUCAGCCACACUGGGACUGAGACACGGCCCAGACUCCUACGGGAGGCAGCAGUGGGAAUCUUGCGCAAUGGGCGAAAGCCUGACGCAGCAACGCCGCGUGCGGGAUGACGGCCUUCGUGGUUGUAAACCGCGUUUCAGCAGGACGAAAAUAGACGGUACCUAGCA